CCCCCCCAUCCCAUAAUAACCCCACAAUAAACCCUCACAUCCCAUAAUAACCCCACACCGCCGCCGUGCUCUCAUUGAGCCGUCGCAGUCGCGGCAUUAUGACGUCACGGCGGCGCUCACCAUUGGCCGAAUGGCGGAGGCGCUUCAGGAGCUUCCGGCGCCGUUUGGACGACGGGGGCGGGAUGGGAACGCUGCGGGGCAUUAUGGGAUGGGAGGAGGUUAUUGUGGGGCUUCCGGCGCAGCUCCUGCGGGACGGAACCGUUACCGUUAGCGGGACCGGAACCGGAAGUGAAGCCUCGACUCCCCCUCACCCCCCACUCCCGGUUUCCCGCCGCGCACCGUUUUCGGGCGGUUGAUUUUCCCCCCGAUCCCCAUGGCGCACGUGCCACUUCCGGCCGGGCCCACUUCCGGCUCCCCCCGACUUCCGGCCACUCCCCUUUCCGCUCUGCGCCACGAGGCUCUUCCCCUCACUUCCGCUCCUCACCCCCUUCAUCCCUCCUUUCCUCUCUCCCCAUUGGUUACCCGUCGCCACCGCCGCGCGUGAUUGGCUCCCUUCCGGACACCGCCGCUUCUGAUUGGCCGAGCGGGGCACAAAAGGCGCCGCGUGGAAGCGGGGCGGCCAUUUUGCGGCGGAGCGGCGAAGGGAGCGGAGGGUCUGCCAAUGGACGGCAACGAAGACGAGAGGUGUGGGGCUGCCCCAUAGCGACAUGUGGGGCUGCCCCAUAGGGUGCUGUGCCCCAUAGCCACGCGUGGGGCUGCCCCAUAGAGUGCUCUGCCCCAUAGCAAUGUGUGGGGCUGCCCCAUAGGGUGCUGUGCCCCAUAGCCACGCGUGGGGCUGCCCCAUAGGGUGCUGUGCCCCAUAGCCACGCGUGGGGCUGCCCCAUAGAGUGCUCUGCCCCAUAGCGACGUGUGGGGCUGCCCCAUAGAGCACUGUGCCCCAUAGCGACGUGUGGGGCUGCCCCAUAGUGUGCUCUGCCCCAUAGCGACGUGUGGGGCUGCCCCAUAGCGUGCUCUGCCCCAUAGCGAUGUGUGGGGCUGCCCCAUAGAGCACUGUGCCCCACAGCGCCCCACAACAUUCAAUGGAUCCCCAAAUAAAGGCGUUUCUCCCCCUCAAAAGUGUGGUUAUGGGGUUACGGGAUGUGGGGUU
ensembl:lncRNA